UGCAAGUCGUGCGAGAAAGUAUCUUCGGAUAUGAGUAGAGCGGCGGACGGGUGAGUAACGCGUAGGAAUCUACCUAGUAGAAGGGGAUAGCCCGGGGAAACUCGGAUUAAUACCGUAUACCUCCUUUGGGAGAAAGAGGGCCUCUCUUGAUGCUCUCGCUAUUAGAUGAGCCUGCGUAAGAUUAGCUUGUUGGUAAGGUAAUGGCUUACCAAGGCUACGAUCUUUAGCUGGUCUGAGAGGACGAUCAGCCACAUUGGGACUGAGACACGGCCCAGACUCCUACGGGAGGCAGCAGUGGGGAAUAUUGGACAAUGGGCGCAAGCCUGAUCCAGCCAUACCGCGUGUGUGAAGAAGGCCUUCGGGUUGUAAAGCACUUUAAGCAGGGAGAAAAAGCUAUAAGUUAAUACCUUAUAGCCGUGAUGUUACCUGCAGAAUAAGCACCGG
rnacentral:rRNA from 1 species